rnacentral:tRNA from 1 species
UGGCCCGUAGCUUAACCGGCAGAGUACGUGACUCUUAAUCACGGGGUUGUGGGUUCGAAUCCCACCGGGCCAACGA